CGCGUAGGCGGUUUAGUAAGUCGGAUGUGAAAUCCCCGGGCUUAACCUGGGAACUGCAUUCGAUACUGCUAAACUAGAGUAUGGUAGAGGGAAGUGGAAUUCCGGGUGUAGCGGUGAAAUGCGUAGAUAUCCGGAGGAACACCAGUGGCGAAGGCGACUUCCUGGGCCAAUACUGACGCUGAGGUGCGAAAGCGUGGGGAGCAAACA
rnacentral:rRNA from 1 species